rnacentral:rRNA from 1 species
AGCGAACGCUGGCGGCAGGCCUAACACAUGCAAGUCGAGCGAACAGACGAGGAGCUUGCUCCUCUGACGUUAGCGGCGGACGGGUGAGUAACACGUGGAUAACCUACCUAUAAGACUGGGAUAACUUCGGGAAACCAGAGCUAAUACCGGAUAAUAUAUUGAACCGCAUGGUUCAAUAGUGAAAGACGGUUUUGCUGUCACUUAUAGAUGGAUCCGCGCCGCAUUAGCUAGUUGGUAAGGUAACGGCUUACCAAGGCAACGAUGCGUAGCCGACCUGAGAGGGUGAUCGGCCACACUGGAACUGAGACACGGUCCAGACUCCUACGGGAGGCAGCAGUAGGGAAUCUUCCGCAAUGGGCGAAAGCCUGACGGAGCAACGCCGCGUGAGUGAUGAAGGUCUUCGGAUCGUAAAACUCUGUUAUUAGGGAAGAACAAAUGUGUAAGUAACUAUGCACGUCUUGACGGUACCUAAUCAGAAAGCCACGGCUAACUACGUGCCAGCCGCCGCAGUAA